GGAGAAAAGUAAUUUUAUUAUUAUAUAAGCUAGAAAUUAAUAUUUGAGUACAGACAAGUAUUUCUUUUAAUUAUUUCUAAACCAGUUGCUGGAACUGGAAUUGUUUUGAAAAAUACAUUUCCAGCAAAAACUAUUUUCAAACAUCAAAAAGCCUAACGGUUCCAACUAACCAGCGUAAUAUAAUUUUUUUUUUUUUUUAACUAACAGAAAAUACCAAUUCAAGGACAACAAGUGUAUGUUAAGACUUUUUUUUUUUUUUUCAAUAAAGUGUAUGUUAAGAUAAACACUUUGGGCAGUUUAUACUUAAUAAUAGCUAAGUCACAUCAUUCAGUCAUGUUCAAUUUUCUAUGGGGUCCGAAAUACGUUCAAAGUUACAUCAAUGACAUUACAAGUUUGAUGAAUAAAAUGACCUUGCCAUGCCUCCCUCAAUUCCAAUCCACAGCAGUGAUGACACAAGCACAGAAAACCUAUGACUUAUAAGUCUUCUCGGGAGACAAUGUCCUCCUUUAAUAUCCCGUCUAAAGUAAGAAUUGCCACCCAAGAAGCAAGCAAAACAAUUUGGUCAAGUAUGGAGAUAAUUAGCAGCCAUCAUCAGUUCCAGAGUCAGUUCAGGUUCAAUAUGGAAUUCAGUCUCCUUUCCCCUGACAAAAGAGCAGCAAUUUCAUGUCAAUAGAGGAGAAAAAUACAAGAAUAAGAAGCCAGGACCUUGAUUAGUUAAAACUUAAAACCAAUAGUUAGAUUUAGUUAAACCUUCAACUUGUAAAUACAUAAAAGGGAAAGGUAUAAACAAACAAUAACAUCAAUGAGUCUUUUUAAACAGGAGAUUCAUGCUGAAAACCAAAGAUCUCAAUUACUAAUCUUCAAUGCAGCUUCACAACUAGCAUGACCUCCCAACCAUUAUCUUUAGCAGCAAUUGAAAAAAAUAAAUAAAUAACAAACGUAAAUAAAACCAAAUCAACCACCCACCAAGUGACAUGGAUUAAACAGACCAUUUCAUUAUUUAGAAUAUACUAAAAUAUAUUAGAAAGAAGAACUGAGGCCCCACAUGAAGCUCAUAUAACUGCCAAAAAGAAGCAGGUGAAAUUUUCAGCUCACAAAUCCAAGGAAGAAAACUACAAAGAGAGGGAGAACAAAAUGUAGAGAGUUAAAACUUCAUAAUUAUGAUAGGAGGACGACAGGUAAACAGACUAGAGGGAUCCAUAGAAGCACAAUAAGCACAUAAAAUAUUUGUACAAUGUCCAGACUACAGAACUGAAUGUGAACAAAACUAAAUUAUGAUUUAGGAGGAAGCCUUAAUUCCCAGAAUAAUAAUUUUCAAACAAAAGAGAUGCAUACAUAUAUGAUGCAAACCUCUGUCUUUCUAAAUCUUGGGACCAAAAACCGAACACUUUUAAUCAGUAGAGAUGCAAACCAUUUCAUUUUGGCAAAAUAAGUAUUUCCAGAGACCUCCAAUAACCCAUUUCACCACCAAACCAAACAGAAGGGAAUGCUAUAUCCUCAUUCUCCUGACCAAACCAAAAUAUUAAGAGGAGAAGUUUAUGCAAAACAAGUUUAUUGAACAUUCCAUCAAAAAUUAAAAUAUGAAAACGAUCAAAGAGGUAAUAAAACUAACAAAACCAACUAAAUAUUGCUUCCCUGGAGGAUACAAAAAAAUGGCCUCACAAGCAUGCAGGGAGAGAUUAACAAAAGUUUCUUUUUCUAUCCUCUCUGUUCCACACACACACACACCCCAAAAGAAAAAACGAGAGAGAAGCAUGAUAAGUGCAUAACAAGUUUUCAAAGCCAAAAAUCAAAACUGUACUUACGAAACAUAAGCAUCAAUAUGAGGUAAUUAGCAUGGUAAAUGCUCAAAACACAACAAAAGUUUGCCAUGUAAUCAAAUAUUUCAACCUGAUAGGCGUUUCGUGUUUGCAAACAAAACAAAACAGUUAGGCACGAUACGAUAUUGACUAAAUCCAAGCAUUUGAAGCAAGUAAACUAAAAUUGAACCACAAAUUAAGAUGACACAGUAAAAUAACCAAACGAUAGAAAGAUAAGGAAGAGAACAAAACUUGGCAUAUUGAAGGGACCAGUAGAAAUAUUGGCAAAUUUUCUCUAAAAUGGUGGUGCUUAUUUCCGGAAAUCUCACUUCUCCAUGCUGCGUCUCAGCGAAACUACCUGGAGAGGUGAGCAUGUUGCGGAUGGUCUGGGAAACCAUGGCCGCUUCCUUGUCGAUGACGAACUCGAACCCCUCCGCGCUAAUCAGCUUCACCGUAUCUUCCUUCCUCAUGUUUCUUCUUCUUCUACCAAAGACUUUUAUCUUUUUGACGCGAAUCAAUUGCAAUGUGAGAAACUGCAAAUAGAAGAGAGUUUCGGUUC
rnacentral:misc_RNA from 1 species